GAUGAACGCUAGCGGCAGGCCUAAUACAUGCAAGUCGGACGGGAUUCGGGUGCUUGCACCUGAUGAGAGUGGCGCACGGGUGCGUAACACGUAUGUAACCUACCUUAGUCAUGGGGAUAGCCUCUCGAAAGAGAGAUUAAGACCGCAUAACAUCAUUGAAUGGCAUCGUUUGAUGAUCAAAUAUUUAUAGGACUAAGAUGGGCAUGCGCAACAUUAGCUAGUUGGUGUGGUAACGGCAUACCAAGGCUACGAUGUUUAGGGGAUCUGAGAGGAUGACCCCCCACACUGGUACUGAGACACGGACCAGACUCCUACGGGAGGCAGCAGUAAGGAAUAUUGGUCAAUGGACGGAAGUCUGAACCAGCCAUGCCGCGUGCAGGAAGACGGCCCUAUGGGUUGUAAACUGCUUUUGCAGGGGAAUAAACCUCGGUACGUGUACCGAGUUGAAUGUACCUUGAGAAUAAGGAUCGGCUAACUCCGUGCCAGCCGCCGCCGUAACAC
rnacentral:rRNA from 1 species